GGGGGUGGGGAGUCUGGCUCAGUGGUAGAGCAUCUGCUUUGCACACAGAAGGUCCUAGGUUCAAAUCCUGGCAUCUCCA